GAUGAACGCUAGCGGCAGGCUUAACACAUGCAAGUCGAGGGGCAGCAUGAUGAAACUUUCGGGUUUCAUUGAUGGCGACCGGCGCAAGGGUGCGUAACGCGUGAGCAACUUGCCCUUAUCAGGGGGAUAACCGGUGGAAACGCCGACUAAUACCCCAUAGCAUCACUUUAAGGCAUCUUUUAGUGAUUAAAGAAUUUCGGAUAAGGAUAGGCUCGCGUGACAUUAGCUAGAUGGCGGGGUAACGGCCCACCAUGGCGACGAUGUCUAGGGGUUCUGAGAGGAAGGUCCCCCACACUGGAACUGAGACACGGUCCAGACUCCUACGGGAGGCAGCAGUGAGGAAUAUUGGUCCAAUGGCCGAGAGGCUGAACCAGCCAUGCCGCGUGAAGGUCACGGCCCUAUGGGUCUUAAACUUCUUUUGUAAGGGAGCAAUAAGGUUCACGUGUGGACUGAUGAGAGUACCUUACGAAUAAGCAUCGGCUAACUCCGUGCCAGCA
rnacentral:rRNA from 1 species